AUCGAACGCUGGCGGCAAGCCUAACACAUGCAAGUCGAACGAGUGGCGGACUGGUGAGUCAUGUCUGGGAAACUGCCUGAUUGAGCCGGAUAACUACUGGAAACGUUAGCUAAUACCGCAUACCUUCCCAUCUGCCUAGAUGGGAUUAGCUAGUAGGUGGGGUAAAGGCAAACCUAGGCGACGAUGCCUAGCUGGUCUGAGAGGAUGACCAGCCAAACUGGAACUGAGACACGGAACAGAAUCCUACGGUAGGCAGCAGUGGGGAAUAUUGCACAAUGGGCGCAAGCCUGAUGCAGCCAGGCCGCGUGUAUGAAGAAGGCCUUCGGGUUGUAAAGUACUUUCAGCGGGGAGGCGUUACCCGCAGAAGAAGCACCGGCUAACUCCGUGCCAGCCGCCGCGGUAAUUC
rnacentral:rRNA from 1 species